GGCAGGUGGACGCGCCGCUCGGCCCCCCGGCGGGGCGGCGCGGGGCGGAGAGGAGAGGAGCGGAGCGGAACCAGGCGGCGUGGCACGGCACGGCCCGGAGAGGCACGGCACAGCACGAAAAAUGCAGAAUGCUGCUGUUGACAACUCGCACGACACAACUUUUGGCACAGGAUUACUCACGGCUCUGGAGUUAUACAACAACAUGUUUGUUUGCGAGAUUGACGACUGCAGGGUUGGUUGAUGGACUGCAGCGUUCAGCGUGCUCUGUGAAAUCUGUGAUACAUCCUAGGACUGACUAUGCAGUCCCGUUCCAGUCCCUGGGUCUUCCCAAACAAUGACUCAGAUUUUACAAGAGUUUAGUCAAGCAUGGUCAGUUUCUCUGUCUGCCCAUCCUGCUGCAGAUACCUUGUCAUAGAGGAGGUACCCUAACUUGCUUUAGUUUUUAAAACACACCAUUGCUUGUUUGCACCUUGCUUAAGCUGGACACUGAUGUUAACCAGCCCCAUUUUCACUUUGGAAAGUAUCCAGUUGGUUUUGGGGUCCCUGUGGCAGCAGAACUCAUAGCUCUGAGUGCAGGGGACUCUGAAAUUCCAAGCCAACCAUGUUCCCCUGAAAUUACAAGCAAAUAAUGGAGAGAUUUUUAUUCUACUUCAUGUUACAAAAUAUCUUUUUUAUAUUACAGAACCCAAAUUUUAGCCUGGACAACUUGAGAAGGUCUCUUCCAGAAGACAAAAAGAAAAAUAAAUGCAGUAAAAAAGCCCAGCACAGGAUUUGCAAUUGUUACUCCUGCAAAUCUUGAAGUGGGAAAAUGGGAUGCACAGCCCUGCAUACCAGCAGCCCCUCAAAAGCCUCCCUUUUAAACAGAUUUCCCAGCAGAUGUUCAAUAGAAAAUGGAGCAAAUUAUUUUCACUGCACACUUACAACUUCUCGGGGAUAGCGGGAAGGAGGCUCUCGGUACCUUUUUUAUGAUCUGCUGUUGACUUCACUAAUGACUCACAUUUGGUUCCAAUGAGAUAUUUUCAUAUGACUAAUGAAUCUAUAUUUGGAGGCGUAAGAGGGUUUGGCUAAUUAUCUGUUGCAGUCAGUUAAAUAUUCCAAGUAUUCAAAGUAGGUUUUCUUCCAGUGGUAAAUGUUAUGCCCUCACAGUCUGUCUUCUGGUGCUUUAAAAGAGCCCAGAACUUUGACUCGCACCAAGCUGACAUCUGGGUUUCUGCAUGUGUAAGCACAAGAGAUGGCCUGAACUUAAUUAUACAGCAAACCAAUCCUGUGUUUUUUAGGUGGCCAAUAGGUCAUUGCCCAAGGGACGAUUUAAACCCGAUUUUUCAACACGCACUUGAUGCUUGCAGCGGCCCAUUUUGCUGGGGGCAUUUACUGGGGUGCCAUUAAUAACUCCUGGCAGGGGCAAAUUCUUUCUAAGCGCCGUUGUGUAGGCUGCAUGUGCACAAAUCAUUUUUCCACAGGGAGGGCUCGAAAUCUGAUGAGAGAAGGGAAGGUAGAGAGGAGGGGGAGGGAAGGGGCUCCGCUGGCUCAGCUGCCUGAAUUGCAGAAGGACAUUAAACAUAAUGAUCCUGUAGGGAAAGAAACCGUACUUAGCUCAGAUGUGGGAACGAGCCAGGAUUUCCUGUUCAUAUGCCUCUUUAGUAGGUGCUCGGGCUGUUCUCCUUUUAUCACCGUCAUUUUCUUUGUCUGCCACUAAAGCAAUAACACCGGUGCAGAUACAAUGGAUCAGAUGUUCCCCCUGCCCCUGCUGCUGCAGCCCUGGGCUGGGAGACCUCUCUGUGCUGCUCUGCAACUCCAGCAGAACAAUAAAGAAGAUUUUACAGCUGUUAUGGGGAUGGGGGAGGCGGGGAGGCAGAGGGAAACAGCUUGAGUGCCCGUGGCCAGCUAUAAUUUCUCCAGUGGGUCUUUGCUGACAGUUUUAGGAUUAACAAGUGAGCUCUGUUCCCAAGCAUUUACCCCUCUGGAUAAGCUGGCCUGUUUGUUCUCAAGGGUUUAUUUUACCCUACAAAAUAUGGCAUUGCCAAACAGAUGUAGGCUUGUUCCUAGAAAGGCAAGUUAUAGCUGAAGCUGCAUCUCACACAGGCUUUAGCCCUUGGAAUUGUUUGGAAAUGCUACAGUAUUCUCCGACCCUUUUCAGGGCAGUUUUUUCCCACAGACGUGCUGGUUGAUUCUUUUAUAGCUCUGUCCUUUGUCAGGGAUGAAUUAGGAAAAAUAAACUCACAAACAAAAAGUGGAGGCCCAGCACGGAGAUCCUCUUGCUACCAAUGAUUAAGAAGUAUUUUACAGCUCUGAGUGUGUGGGGGGAGAAAACAAAGUGCCCUUCUGCCUUUUUCUUUCCCUCUUUUUUUCUUCAUGGGUAAUGGGGCAUGGGGGAGGGGGGGAAGAAAGAAAAAAAAGUCGAGAAGAUUAAAACAGUGUUGUAAUUAUUUUUAAAGUCCUCCUUUUCAGUAGACUGACACAAAGUGCUUUAUGGUGGGUGCUAGAGAAAGUCUCCCGAGUCCCAGAGCUGGCAUGGUGAGGAGAAGGUGAUGACAAAAGGGAGGCUGUGAGGAGGAAGGUUGGGAUUGAUGUAUUUGCACCUCCACUUUCUGUUUGUGAGUUUAUUUUUCCUAGUUCAUUCUUGACAAAGGACAGAGCUAUAAAAGAAUGUUGCCUUCUCCCUGGAGAUACAGUGAAGCUCGGCCAUGAGUAAAAGGUAUUGGGAGGUAGGAAUUGCCUCUGGCUCACAGUGAAGCACAUCAGAGUGGGAUGACAGGGAGUCUUCCCUCCUUCAUCCCCCAUUCCUUCCCAGGGGGUGUCAGGGGAGCAUGACCAAGGCCAGAGUCGGUAGCAGGGGCAGAAGGAGCUGUGCCCUGCCCUCUGCCCCUGCCUUUACUCCCCCUCAAAAGGAACACUAAGCCUUAAAAUCCAGGCUGUUUGAUCCAGCCAUGGAACUGGCUCUCUGUCCCUCCUUCCACACUCCCCAGGACUGUAGGUCCCAGUGCUCCAGCCCCUUGCUGCCUUGACCUGCCUUCAGGCACCCCAGUUCAGUAGCUUUGCUCAUUGAAUUGGGGUGGUGCAAGUGAGCUCAGCAGAGCCCUGCAGGGAGGAGGGAGGCACUGGCAAGACCCUCCUGUUCCAUCCUGCCCGCAGCUGCUGCCCAAGGCAAUCACACAGUAAACAGCAAGCUUUCGAGGAAAUAAAUGCCCAGAACUGAGUUCCCAGCAUCACAUCUUCUCCCCAAAACUCAUCAGCAUGUUUCACACUUCCAUCAGCACUUGUUCUCUGGAGCCUGCUUGGCUCCCGUGCAAGGGUUUCAGGUACCCCACAAGCUCCUACAGCUCUGAUCCACACCCAUAGCUCUGCUGCUCCACAGGUCACACUCAGAGGUAGGUCUGGGCCUGCCUGAUGCCCCAGGCACCCCCCUCCAUCCUCAUAUUGUUUUCCCCAGGUGCAUCAGCAGACCCAGGGUUCAGAUGUCAGCAGAAGGGUCAAUUAUAGGCCACUUUAUUUACAUUCACCCUAUCUGAAAUGUUUUUAGAGCAGCCCUAAAUGCAUUAUCUUUGAGCCUGAUCCAGUAAUUAUGAAUGCUUAGGAAUGGUCCAGGCUAGUUUGUUUAGGUUUCUCCAGCACUGAUUAGAGAUUAGCAGAGCUGAAACCACCCAUUAGCUGGAAGGCAUAAAGCAAUGGUGAUUCUCAUGCUCAGGGGCCAGGUGCUCAGUGCUUACCCAUCGCCCAGGCACCACUGCUCUCCUGCAGGGGUGCAGGGCAGAGAGGCAGGGUGUCACAAGUUUGCCUGGUCUGCAGUUGUCAUACAGAGCAGAGGCCACCCCAGUAGUCACUCCUCACUCGUCCCUAAGCUUCCCUUAAAGAUGCCGUCAUUAUUUUCAGGUGUAUAAAACACUUUGAAGCCAAGCAGCUGACCAGGAGGAGGUAAGAAAAAAGGUUCAAUAUUGACCUAGGUAGAUGAGGCACAGUGACUUGGCUUCUAGGGAUGAUCAGAAAAAAGCAGAGAGGAUUUUUGUGGAGACUGGCCUUGAUUUCUGCAGGUACCAGGGCUAAUUGCUCUUGGAAGAGGGCCUGGCAAGGAGAUGUAGCUGAGGGAGGGGAAGAAAGAGCCAAGGUAGUAGUGCAUCUUUGCAGAGAUAUUCCUACUUUAAACAAAUCUGUUUGAAGUGGGCCUUGGGUGGCUAAAGGACCUGGUACUGUAUACAGCUUCUUUAUUGCAGUUUCCCAGUAGCAGUUCUAAGGAUAUCAGCAGACUUGUUUACAAAAACCCUAAAUUUUCAGUGUCUUUACAGACAUCACAAAAUUCCAGCUGUAACUUAGAGGGAAUGGGGACUAGUACUGUUCGUAUUUGGUAACUAACAGCCCUUACCUGAGGACCUGUUCUUUUGGCCUCAGAGACCUUCCCUCUCCAGACACUCAACCAUAAUUUCCUUUCAGUAGUAGGAAUGCUCCUAAAAACUCAUGUGCCUGGGUGUAAGAGCCACCACAAUCCAUACACCUACUGAGUCCUCCAAUCAUCCAUGGUUUCCAUGGGGAUUUAGAUCCCAAGAUAAAAGUUGGAUUAAAAAUCCCUUUGUUUCAGUGAGUCCAGAUGAUAAAGGGUCCAGCUUCUUGGAGAGGGCUGGGACAGCCUCCCAACCCUUGGAAUAGCAAAUGGACAGUAUCCCCAUGACAGAUAUGAGAACCCAAAGAUCCUUUUGACAUUUGCAUUGACAGGCUUCCCAUCAGUGCCUGGUACCCCUUGAGCAGGGCAGCGGGAUGAAAGCAUUUCAAAGCACACACAGAUGCUUAAGAAUUUUGUUAGCAGCAUCAGCCAACAUUUCCACUUGCUUUAUAUUUGCUGUUGGAAAAGUAAUAACAGCUUUGGAGAACCUACUCAGGAGAGAAAACAGCUCUUUUCUAAGCACCAUGCUGGGACACUGCUUUGAGUAACAACAUUGCAUGCAGGAAUGGAGUGGAAAGGGGCUGCAGCCCCAGGGAGAGAGGGAUUGCUUACAUGAGUCCACAGAAAGUGCUUGGAUUGAACAGGAUGAAGUAAAGGAAAGUGUAGUGUGACUACAUACUAAGAAAGGACUCCAGCUGCUGGUCUCUAGCUGCCUAUGUCAAAGCCUCCUCGGGGAAGUAACUUUAUUCGUCUCAUGGGACAAAUAAAACAAGUACUGGAAGAAACACAGGGAACAGUCGUGUUUUGGCUGGGGCAAGACAGGCCAUUCAGAUCUUGACUCAGAGCACAGAGCUCUCCUAGGGCAAGAGAAAUGUUUGAAGGUACACUGACAUUUAUGUCUAGCACAAAGGAAACCCCAGCACUAAAAGUCCCCUGGCUGCUGAAGAACAGGAGCUACUCCAGGACUAGGGAACACACAGGACUGCAGUGCCUUUAACCCCUCACUAACUUCUUAAACAAGAAUUUCUCCAGUCUUAUUUCCCUGCCCUGGCUCUACACCUCUCUUGACUCAUUUCUGGAUAUGGGGCCAAGGCAGAGGAAGAUGGAGCCAAGAACUGAGGGGACAGAGCAUCUUGAAGGAAUAGUCCUCAUCCUACAGCUCUCCAGGACCUAGACAAACUCUAUCCCACCUUUCACCCUGCUCAGUAGCAGAAACACUUGUAGAGGACCUCGGGGCAACACCAACUCUACCUUUCUGCCUCCAGACAGAGCCCCCUGUCCUCUUCAGCAGCAGCAUAGGACAAAGACUGAGGAACUAGCCCUGUAGAAAAGUGUCCAGGGGCCAGCAGAAAAGCACAGGGCCUCAACUCACCGUAUUUAAUCAUGUGCUUUAAAGCACGCUACCUGUCAAGACAGGUGUGGGAGGGGAUGAUCUGGAUGAUCUCAUCUGAGGGUAGCACAAUGAGCCCUCCUGCACUGGUGCAGCCCUGCUGAGACAGCCAGGCAGCCUGACACUCCUACAGCAGUGAGUCUUUCCAUUUCUUCAGGAUGUUUAUAUGUACCAGCCUAUGAACACAAGCACUGACAUGCAACCCACAAGCAAGACCCCUUCUGCAACAUUCUCUCCAAGCAUCACUGCUGGUUUCUGGCUUGCUUCUCUGGACCCUCGCUGUGACAGAGGAGGAGCUGCACUAACAAACUCUUCACUUUCUUGCUGAUGUGGACGCCCUGCCAAAGAAAAGGCAUGACUAAACCAGGUGUAAGGGUGAACAGUGCACAUUCCCAGAAAGGAGAGGACUUGAUUAGAAAGAUUCUGUCCUGCAGCACAUGGGACUGUGAAGCUGCCAGCUGGAACAGUAACAGGCAUGGAUUCGUUGUUGUUCUUGAAGGCCUUCAUUUGCAGUAUUCAACAAUUUAACAAUUGCCCCAUGCCUUCUGCUCAUUAAUUACAUCAGUGAAAGGAAUGUAUUUGAUUUGAUGCAGAUUAUAUCCAUUUACGUCAAAAAACAACAUGAGUGACACUUUCUAACAUGAACAAUGUAUUCAGCAAUAAGAGAAAUGUCACAGUCCUUUCCAGGAUGACAAUAAACUGAUAGAUCUUGGAGUUUUUAAAGCAAAGAUAAGGUAAAUUAAUUCAGAUUGUUCCUCCCAGUGCCAAGUCUGAAGCUGAUGCCUUGCCAAAUCUACUAUAGAAGUGCAAAUUGGUGAGGAAAAGCAAUGAAAGAUAUGAACUUGUCACUUGUUUUCCUGUUGCUCCAGACAGUAUUUCAAACCACCGACUCCAAAACAGCUGCCUCUGUGGCACACACAUCCUACCCACAGAGAAAUCCUUGAAGGAAGUCUUCCAACAUGGUCUACCCAAGCACUCCUUUUUUCCUCAGCUUCCACCAAGGGAACAAGUACAGGUGUCUCCUGAGAGUGAGCUGCAGGUGAUGACUUCAAGGUCCUUACCUAUGGGUAGUAGCACAAGGAGGGAGGAACUGGAAAGGAUAUGGAGGUGCCUGGCGGCCCGGUGAAACCUCUCACAAGGCCAGAGGGGCAGAUAAACUGACCUACUGCUAUCCAAAAUGUACAGCACUCCUGCCCUCACUUUUCGGGAAAGGACCAGAGGUAGCACGAGGCAGACAAUGUCUGGUUCAAAAGAACUGUCUGACCACACUUUUACCUAUCAGCAAGCUCACAGGAUAUCCCUAUCUGCUUGCCUUUCUUCCCAUAAAUGUUGUUGUGCAGGUCCAAUCACAGCAAAUAGUUUCACAGUGGUGGCUCUGGAAACUUAAUCCAUUUUUGCCUAGAGGAGAAGUCAUCCAGUUGAGCCAGCAGAAGUUUCAGUGCAACCAGGAACAAAGAAAGAGGAACCUGUCUUUUACCAGUGCCCUCUGCAGACACAUGUGUUGGGCUGAGUUUUGAAGCUGGGGCUGAAGUACAUGGGAAAGAAAAUUACUGAGGACAAAAGACAGGAGAGGAGAGAUUCCUUAUGAGAUCUACUCUUACAGUCCUGAAAAAUUCUAGCUCUGGAGUUGUUCAGAAGACUGGAUGACCAGUGUCCCCUUCAUCUUACCUGAGCCACUGCUCAGCCAGCUGUGGUGGACCACUUGAGAUGACCAAGACAAUCAGUCCAUUAAAAAGAAAUGGUCAUCUACAUUUUGGUGAGGGACUCUGAUUCAGCACCAGGCUCCUGAACAAUGCAGCUUGCUGCCCAGGUAUUACUCUCCCUCUGCCUAACCCAUAAGCUCAGAAACCAGCCAGAAGAGACUAGAACAAUCACUCAGUCUGAACUCUUACACAAAACAGACCACAGAGCCCGCCCCAGUAAUUCCUGCAUGAAUACACUGCAGUCCUCUGGAGCCACUGGGAAUACAGGGAUGGAAACAAUAGCUUCGAAAGAACAAAUCAAACUUAUAAAACAAAACAAAAAGGGGGGGGAUGGGAGCAAUAAAAGUCACUAUGAGUCAAGGAGGUAAUUAUGUGUGAUAGCAGGGUUCCUUUGGCUGGGGACCAGCAAGAGACACUGUCUACAUCCAGCCCCUGGGAUGAGCAUGACAGAGCAGUUUGAGCUGCAGAGAAUUAAGUCUCCAGACAGGAGAAAGGCAGCCAUCCGAGACUGGGCCAGGCCUAACUCAGACACGCACAAGUCAUUAAGCUAAUGUCUCUUAGCUAAUUGCACACACAGAGACAUAUCCUGCAAGGAAAACAGCCUGAGAAACAGCCUCACGGAAUGGGCAUUAAACAAACGCAUUAAGCAGGGGAACAGUAAUCCUUCCUUGGUGCCAGCAGGGUGUGAGGCGUUUCUCAUCCACAGGACCACAGCAUUCAGUCAUGCUCAGCCCACAGGAAUCCCACAGAAGCAAGAAACUGCAAGAAGCUACAAGCCCCCCAUCCCUGCUUUGUGUACAAAGGCUCAGGGCAAAGAGGAAGAGAUGUGGCUGACGAUACAACACACCUCCCUGGAAGGGACUGUGAGCCCCAGGUUUAGAUUCAGUAAUGAAAUCAUUAAAUGUGAGCAGCAGAAGAGCCCAAGACUUCUGGGUAUUUGCAGCUCUGCCUGUUUGCUCAGUGAUUCAACACAGCAUUACUGGGCUUCUUAGAAAAGGGCCAUGAGUCAUCCACACCAUUGGUUCCUUCCCUCUCCAGAAAACCCCCAAACCAAGAGAGUGAACAUGGGAGAACAACAGUUUUCUAAAUGGAACCAGUUGGCCUCCCAGAUUCCCCCAUUUUUUCUCAUGUCAGUUAUCUGUGAGCCUCAAUAUCCUCCAAGCUGAAGUGGAGGAUGCAUAGCCUGAUGUCCUCAAAUGUCAGUGCUUGAGAGUUAAGAGCUGAUGGUUUUUAAAGUCAAAACCAGAAGAGACAUCAGAAGGACAUUCUGCUUUCCCUCCUUCAAACACUGACAGCUCUCUCCAAGCCACUUCUGACAAAUGCUUGCCUAAUCUCCAACUCGGAACUUCCAAAUGUGACGUUACUAUCACCUCACUUCAUCACUGUGUUGCCAUCCUUAUUGCAGGGAAAUUGUUCCUAUCACAGAAUUUCAGAAUUUUAUUGCUGGAAAGGACCUCUGAAAGGCUCUCCUCCAAUCCCAACUCAAAGCAAGGCCAACCAGAUCUACUUGGCCAGAAGAUGUCCAACCAAGACUUAACACACUGCUGGAGUUUCAGUCAUCACUUGUCAGGUCUGCAGUGAAUACAGAGAACCAAUGAGGCCAUUUCACCUUACAGCAAAAUAUCUUGUGUAUUUCAAAACAAAUGUUUUCAAAAAGGCUUUCCUUCUUCAGAUCCUUUAGCCUUUCCUCAUAAGUCAUGUUUUUGAGACUGAUGAUCUUUUAUCCUACUUCCCAUAAAUAAUUGGCAGUCUCCAGCCACACAGAUCCUGGAGCUGCCAACCUCAUGAAGACUACUGUGACUGUAGAUGAGAAGAGUCAGAUGCCUCCAUGGAGAGGAGAAACAGAAGAAAGGCUGGCAAAGCAGAAAGAGCUCAUCAGAUGCUCUGAACACCAGUCAUCCAGCCUCACAUCUCUGACAACCUCCAGCAUGAAGAUGUGUGAAAACUCCACGUGCUCAGUUCAGCUGUUGUACUUGCUGUGCCAACAUCCAUGCUCCAGCUCUUCCCCAGAGCUAACAUCAUAAAAGAGUGGAAAACCUAACUCAUGAGACCAUAACUGUUACUGUUAUCUAACUGGACCAUGCCAGAGGAGAGCCCUUUUGUGCCAUGAACAGGCCGAACACAGGCCAACUGCUGACCAACAAAAUGGGAGGAGAGACACUCCUGGCAAGAUGUGUUCCUCAGGUUACAGAAAAACUAGGACCAGGUUUCCCCUGGCUGUAAGCCCACGCUUGGGUAUCCCCUGCUCUGCAAAUUUCUUUGUGGCAUAACCCCCAUCCUCUUCCCAGUCCUAUCUUGGGAGGUGUGCUUCACCAUCCCUCCUUGCCUGUUCCUAUCCCCCAGAGCACUUUUUACUUUCCCAACCAUGAGAAAAACCCUCACUCGACUUCUCUUCAACCUGCCCUAGUCCUGUGUACUCCCCACAUCCUCCCCCUCCCCAAACAUGUGCCUUUUAGGACCAAGAAAUUCCUCUGAAACAGGAGGUGCUUGAGGACAACAGGACUUUGAAAAGAAAGGGCCUUGCCAUGUUAACUAGAGGUGCCUGCCAGCCAACAGCCCAGCCCCUGAACACACAAGGAAUUUUGACCUCACAUAGUGAAAUUUCCUAGAACUUUAAACCUUUGUUAUUGUUGUUGUUGUUGUUGUUGUUGUUGUGUCAUUGUCAUCCUCUCUCUGGCUCUCUCUUGCUUUUCAAUUUUCCACUUGGCAACCACGUUGAAAUGAUGCAAGGGAGCAGCCGCGGCCUAACUGCAAAUUAUUAAUUAGCUGCCAAGGAGUCUGUGCAUGACUGCACGCAGGGCAAGGGGGGCUCUGUCCUACAUUACAAAAUCAACCGACUGGCUUGGCACUGCUUUUCUGCCCAGAGAUAUAAUUUAGUGGUGAGUCUCCAUUUGUUCCAGAACUGAUUCCUAAAAGAGAAGGCACUUGCAUGGUCUGCUAAGGGGGGAGAGGGGGAGGAUAAAACCAAAACAACACCCCGCCCUUGGUGACCAAGAACUGAUUCUUUAGCUGUUGAAACUCUUUCAGAAGAGCCUCAGUUGCUGUUUGAACAAACACUAAUUGUUCUCAGCUAGGGGCUGGCUAUAUAUAGCCUGAACAGUCCAUUCUGCUGUGAAAUAUCAAUCUGAUAAAACUGGGAACCACUUCAGGUGCUCAGGACUACUCAGGUCUCUAAGUUUUCCUAAGACUUAUUGCCACCCCAGUAGGAGCAGACACCCCUCUGCUGAGACAGCAUGUCUGGCCACAUGUGCCCUCCUGAACUGCUGCAACACAACUGAGAGUAGGUUUGCACAAGCCGUGGCUGAAGGCACUGAGGUUUUCGGUGCUGUACAUACACUUUGCCCUAGACACGUCCCUGCUCACAGAACCUCAUAGUUUAAAUACUGAAGACCAACAAACAUCCCAGGGGGGAUCUGUUCCAAUGGGUAAUUGCCCUUAUUGUUAAAAAUUAACAACAAAACAAUAAUCGUAGACAGCUGGGCCUUUCGUGACUUUUAUAGCAACAUUCCCACAGCUCCACAAGAGACAUUGUUUGGGAUUCACAAAUAAAUUUUCACCCCAAAUCAGGAUAAAUCUUUAGUCAACCGUUUCAAAUACCUUCCCAAGAGGGAAUGGUCACUUCCCAUGUGGCUCACCAUGGCAUAUCUUCCUGGUGUGCACAUCUCUGACAGCAGGGCUGGGGGGCUUCAAUGCUUGUAGGAGCCAAUCUCCAGAUAAUUAUUGUACCCCCAGAGCUGCUGCAUCCCUCGUUUUCUUUGUGUUUUAACUCACACCAUUUCCUGGCCUUGACACUGACAGAGACUGGUGAGCCUUUGGUCACUCCCUCCUUCCAAAAGAUCAGCUGGUGGCAGAUGGCCCAAGGCAAAGGGAGGCUCAAGGGGAAGUGUAAGCAUACAAAAAGCUGCAGCCAGUUCAUCUUCUAGGAGGCAGGCAGGGGUGACCAGGAGAUGGACUUGAACUGAGUAGAGAAACAACCCCAGCUCCUGCAAGCCAAGCUGAUACCUAGGAGAAGCCUGAUGGGAAGGGAGGUUGGUCAGCUGCGAUGAUCUGCAUCCUACAAAGCCAAAAAAGCACCCUUGGCUUGGAAUGCUCCAAGUACCAAACCUGAAGUGGUCUUGAGACUGUUAUGUGAAGGCAGACCUCAGCUGCACCCUGCUUGUCUCAGGCUUGGGCGUCUCCAUCUUCUACCACUCAUAACAAUUUGUAUUUCUGCAUGCCAGGAAGUGCUAACCAAGACUGAGGGUACAGGCUUGCAAAGCCUCCUGCAGCUCCCUGAGAUGCUGUGGCUGAUGUCUGACACCCCACAGCCUGACAUGAAACCACAGCAGGGUGAUGCAAACCAUCACAUAGACCCUGUCAGGAUCAGCAGGAACAGCCAGUGCCUAAUUCCUGCUCUGAGAAUCAGAAACUUGGUAGUCCAGACCAAGAAACAUCCCUGGGGAAUCUGCUCCACUGAUUAAUCAACAUCACACUUAAAAAUUAAUAACAAAAUAAUAAUAGUAGGCAGCUGUGCUUUUCCUGCCUUUUAUAGUAACCUUCCCACAGCACAAUGAGGGACAUUGUUUUGGGUUCACAAACAGCUUCUGGGACGUUUACACAUCUUUAUCUCUUUUUCCAUGGCUUACCUCUUACCUGCUGGACCAGCCUGCAAUAAAUCUGUCUGGCAGAAAAGUACACAGGUUUGCAUGGCACGGUUUUGGUAGCAGGGAUGGCUUCUGUGAUAAGCUUCCAGAAGCUUCCCCUGUGUCCAGCAGAGCCAAUGUCAGCCAGCUCCAAGAUGGAUCCAUGGCUGCCCAAGGCUGAGCCCAUCCACAGUGGUGGCAGCACCUCUGGGAUAACUGAUUUAGGAAGGGAAGGGAAAGAACUGCACAGCAGCAGUUGCUGCCAGAGAGAGGAAUGAGAACAUGUGAGAGGAACAGGCACCCAGGGAGCAGAGAGGUUGACCAGGAGUCUUUCAUCUUUGUUGGCUUCUGAAUGUUAAAAAUGCAGUUGAUUUAGAGCAAAACCACAAGACGGAGUCUGUCUCAUUUCUACGCAACCCCUUUUUCUGAGAGUGAUGGCAAGCUCUCCCUUUGACAAAGGUACCACCUUCCUGCUGUGAUGGCAGGGAGGGCUCCUGAAAUGUCUUCUCAAAGGCUUGGGUGACCUCCGUGCUCCAGGUGAACAGAGGUAGCAGGCAGCACGCAGGAUCCUCUGCGCUCAGCUUGCCCCAGGGGGCUAAACAAGAAGAUAUUCCAUGCCUUAAGGGCCUCACAACAUGGAGAAGAGUCCAUGCAAGGUACCAGCAUAGUCUUCACCUGAGGUCCCCAAGGAGCACCACAGCAUUCACAGCAUUUCUGUCAGAGGUUCACCUAUUUUGGAACAAGCAUCUCCUGCUUGCUACAGGAACUUGCAUUUCUUUGUUUCAUAUUCCUCAUGCAAAAAGGAAAAUACAUCUCCAGCUGACUAAGGUUAAAAAUUAAUUGUUUAACGCCUAGAUUAUUUAUUUGUUCCUCUUCUUUCCUUGCACUGGGUUGCAUUCCCCCUUUCCUUGGGUCUAGUUUUCAUUUAAGGAUUUUUUAAAUGUUCCCUUUACAGAUUUGCCUUUAAUCUCAAAUCUAAUCCAUCAUAGUAAUAGUAGUAGGGACCGCUUCAAAUGCAUAGUAAGGGCAGUUUCAAAUGCAACUGCUUGAAUGGAAACAGACCUGACUGAUAGAGCCCUAGAUCCUAUCUUCAAGCAAUCAACCUGCCCUCACAGCUGGGAUAUCAGAGACAAUCCUUCCUUGCAUCAGAACUUCUUCCUUCAAAGGUGAGGCCCAGUAGUGGGUGGCAACUUGGAAGAAGAAUAUUCAGUGGAAAAGGCAAGUGCCCUCUUGGCCCAUCACUUCACAUCAAGGGUAUUUACUUGAAAGAAUCAGGUUCCCUCUCCACACUUGCAGAGAGCUGAAGCUGUUCCAGAGUUGCCUGAAGGGCAGAGCAAAGCUGUGACUUGCAGGACAUUUGUCUCAGGGCGGGGAAGGACUGCAAAAUAAAACACUCUUUACAAUAGGAGGUUUAAUCAAAGAAAUGGAGAAGGGUCACAGAGCAAAUUCCGGAAACUAAACUCAUGAGUUAUAAAUAAAUAUUCCUCAGUGUGAACAGAGGAAUAACACCUUCAAUAACACCCACUGCUCAUUCCAGGCUGCAGUGUGUUGCAUUCAGGCUCUCUGGCCCCACAACUCAAUUCCUCUGCAGCACCUUCCCUGCAUCCCACACUGAGCAUCCUCUCCAUGAGGAGGAGUUACGACUGAGCACAGGGAGGGGAAUCCAACAUCCCAACCUGAGCACAAAGGCUUGCUCCCAAGGUGUGUCCAUCAGAUCAUUGAAGGCCAGGAGAGCAAGUCAGGGGCAAACCUCUCCAGAUGCUUGUGCAAGAUUGUCUGCAGUGAGGCCAAAGGGAGCUGUGUAACCUCAUACUGAUUGAUGAAUGCCGACGUCCUAGGGUAAGUUUCCUUUAGGGAGACAUUGAGGUUUUCAGGGGUGCUGCACUGGCUUCUCACUGCUGUCUUUGCUUUGUAAAUUCCAGAUGCCAGAGCAGCGUUGCUCUUUGCCUGGGGCAGAGGGAGAGGAGCAGCCCAGUCUGAAGCUCUAAUCUAUGGGUCCUGCCCGGCUGCAGGCACCACCUCCAGGGCUGCUUCUGCACCCGGAUAAGCACUGGGGAGGAAACAAAGGGGAAGCAUGACAGCCUCAUUCACUUGCUAAUAGGCUGCUGGAAGAAAGACAUCAAAUCUACAAUUACCAUGCAAGGACACAGUCCAGCUUGCUAAGAACAGAGGAAAAGCAAGAAUGGCAAAGGAGGAGAGGAAACGGAUUAGGUUUUCCACAAGCACCCCAAAAUCCACGCUUCCUACUCAACAGGAGCCCGGGAGGUUGAGCAGGGCUGUGACACCAAACUGCUGAACACGAAUCAAGCACUUUUUUUGGCUCUGGUUAGAAAAAUCCUUUCUUGCAGAGCUGCCAUAGUUCAUGUGCUUAGAGCAACAGUGUACAAAAAGAAGGGUUGGGGCUUUUUGGGAAGGAAGGUGGAAAAAAAAAAGAGCACAAACCCUGCACUGGGAAAGCCACACCGAUGAGCUUGUUAACAUUUGAAGAGACUGCUUGGCAUGAUUCCUUACACAGAUUCCUGCCAAGAAUUUGCAAGAGGAAAGUAUAUUUAGCAAUCCAAGGCAUGCCAAAGCCUUGACAAGAGAAAAAAAAAACCCUUUUUGAAUAUGUGGAAUAGCAAUUAGACAUUUUCUAAGCAGCCAUUUUCAAAAUGCAUCCAGGCAUCUAAUAAGGGCACCUGAGGCAUAUCCACAACUCUGCCACACUCCAUGGCUCAAAAGACAUCCGCUGAGAUCAAAUACUCGGAGGGAGGAUGUGUUACCGAUGGCAACUGCCCACUUCCACAGCACUGGGGCCAGCUUCAAGCAGGCACCUCAAGCCCUUGGAAAUACACAAUCUCAUGCCACUGCAAAUCAUUGUGUAGCAUCCUUUAAGGAACCAUUUCUCCAAGGAAAGCUGGGAGCCCCACUGUGUAGCUGGGUAGCAGAGAGUUGUCACCCACCCACUUCAUCCAUAGGAGCUGGGCCAGCUCUGUGAUGCAAUUUUUCCCCAUUUGGAGCUGCUGAAAAUCUAGGUAGGAUGAGCAGCAGGUGGAAGCUAGGAUAAUAUGUAAAAUCAGAUAGUGUCUUGCAGUCCAUUAAAGUGCUGCUCACAUCAUUCUCUAAAUCUGGCUGCUUCUCUUGUUGUCUGAGUGUUCUGAGCUGCAUGCAAAGCCAGCAAUAAACUUCAUCACUGCUUUCUUUCUACGGAGAGACCUAGAAGAUAGUCCCAAGACAGGGUUAACCUGCACCAGGAAGGUGACUCACCUGCAUCAGUCACUCUUGUUUCUGAAGUGCCAUUGCAAUCUCCUUGGGGUGCAGCAUGGAGGAAGGAGGUUAGGAGGGCCAUGAGCAACCCUUGGUUGUGCUCAAGGAGGAAAGCAGCUGACCAUACAAGAACAAAACAUUUGAUGGUCAUGAAAGUUAGAAAUCAUACUGGAAUAUGCUCCUUAAAACAUGGUGCCCACUGCUUAUAACUGCCAGUCAAAUUCCUAAGACACCAAGCCAGAAAGGAGCACCUGCACACAGGCUGGGUUCACACCACCCUUAAAUCAGGACAUGCAGAAAGGGCAACCAACUCCUGUGGCUGAGGUUUCUCAUUCCUGUAAGCCCUAAACCCCCAGUCUUUAAUGUGGGGCAUAACACCAGUGGUGCUCCCAAGGCUUAGCAUCAUGAUUGCCUGCAGACCAAACAGGGUGUUGGUGACCAAGAGGGGGCAGGAAGCACAAAGGGGUAAAGCCAAAGCAAUUAUUUUGUUUUGGAAACAAAGAAAUACUUAACAGAAAUCAGAAUGAGGAAAUCUGCCCUGAGCUUGUUCAGUUUUUAUUUCCAGGUUUCUUUGGACUCCUGAAAUACAAGUUUCUUUUGGUACCUGAAAUGCCACACUUCUUACAGCUAUCAUCCCCUUAGGUUAAUAUCCUUGAUCCUGAAAGAAAAAUCCCAUGGGUCUGACACAUUGCUCUGAGAACGAGGUCCCCUUCUCACUUACUUUUCAAAAGCAACUAAGAUAAACUAAACUGCACAGCCACAUCCACAGAACAUUCAGUCAUAUUUAAAGUCAAC